rnacentral:rRNA from 1 species
UUGCUACAGGUGACUGCAUGGCUGUCGUCAGCUCGUGUCGUGAGAUGUUCGGUUAAGUCCGCUAACGAGCGCAACCUCGCUGUGUGUUAUAUGUGUCACACGGGACUGCCGGUCGUUAAGCCGGAGGAAGGUGGGGAUGAUGUCAAGUCAGCAUGGCCUUUAUAUCCUGGGCUACACACACGCUACAAUGGUCAGUACAAUGGGUUGCCAAGCCGCGAGGCGGAGCCAAUCCUAAAAAGCUGGCCUCAGUUCAGAUUGCAGUCUGAAACCUCGACUGCAUGAAGUCGGAGUUGCUAGUAAACGCAGGUCAGCUAUACUGCGUUGAAUACGUUCCCGGGGCUU